rnacentral:rRNA from 1 species
UACGGGGGGGGGCAAGCGUUGUUCGGAAUUACUGGGCGUAAAGGGCUCGUAGGCGGCCAACUAAGUCAGACGUGAAAUCCCUCGGCUUAACCGGGGAACUGCAUCUGAUACUGGAUGGCUUGAGUUCGGGAGAGGGAUGCGGAAUUCCAGGUGUAGCGGUGAAAUGCGUAGAUAUCUGGAGGAAUACCGGUGGCGAAGGCGGCAUCCUGGACCGACACUGACGCUGAGGAGCGAAAGCCAGGGGAGCAAACGGG